AUGAACUUUGGAGUUAGUAUCCUCAAGUUACUUUUUAACUGCAUUACUAGACAGCGGUUGGCUUUCAGUUACCAGAAAGGUGAUGUUUCAUUAUGCUUGGUACAACCAACUGGCAGCUAUGGUGCCUUCCUAAUCCAAGCAUAUGUUAUUUUUCAGGCUUUUCAGGUUUUGCUGCUGUUAAUUGUAUUUGGCUUGUUUGUUUCAUUGGUGGCUUGCUGCUCGGGUAUGCGAUCACAUCAGUUGGUUAUUUGCACUCGGAGUUCUUUGUUGAUUUUGUUGGAUGUGUGUGUUGUUUACCAACAAGGAGCUUCAUAA
rnacentral:rRNA from 1 species